rnacentral:tRNA from 1 species
CGGGAUAGCUCAGUCGGUAGAG